UGGCGGAACACGUCAGUUACACUGGCAGAAGAAUAGUGUACUAGAAUAAUUUCUAAAGUUAUUCUAGUGCACUAUAAGUACUGUAACGUCAGUGCAUGGGCCCUAUCAUAGAGUUUCUCACAAUGGGGAACUUUUCCUCUAGAGUCGCUGUCAUCCAUCCAUCCGCAAACACAUAGCGAAGUUGGCGAAGUGUAGACGUCGUAGACGUCGUAGACGCUCAUGCUUGACCCGAAGCCAGUGCACGCAAAGCGCUUUGGGUGCCCCUAUUUGAAAACUCCCAACUGUAUCAGGGGUGGGUGUGGAAGGGGUGGCACACGUCCUUUCCCUCGCCAUGGACGAUGCUCGACUAGAGCGCAAACGAGCACUCGCACGGGAACGACAGCGUCGUCGACGGGAGACUCACCCGGAGCUCCGGGAGAAAGCAGCGGAGGUUGAGCGACAGCGAAGGCGAGCUAAGGCCGACCUGCUGAAGAAAGCAGCGGAGGCUCGGCUACAGCGAAGACAAGCAAAUCCCCAGCUACGGAAGAAAGUAGCGCAGGCCAAGCGGCAGCGCAGGCCAGCCGAUCCCGAGCUGAGACGCAGGGAAAGCGAAGCAAACCGAAGGGGCAACCCGGAAAUUCGAAAGAAGGAACCCGAAGCUCAACGGAAUCGUCGUAAUGAGAUCGCCGAACUUUGCGAGAAAUCAGCGCAGGCGAAGCUUGCUUGGAUGGCUGCAAACCUGGACUUGUACCGGCGAGAAGUGGAGCGAAACCGCGAGCGCCGAGGAUUGAAAACGCAGGAGUUGAACCGCAGCUCCGCCGCUCUUUCCGUGGAUUUCACCCUGGGUGGAACUGUGGUUGCAGUUCCACCCACAGUCAUGCGACGCAAUGCUGCUAUGUGCCACAACCAGUCUACGUCGUGCGAGAUGGGCCUGUCCAAAUCGACGCAGGAUGAUAUACCCACUCCCAGGGUCUCUAGACGGAUGCAGACCAACAAGUUGAAAGGCUUCCACAAGCCCUCCUCAACCCCGAAAGUGCCACUGCAAGGCAAAGAGCCUGUAGUGCCAACAAAUUCAAGAGGAGCCAGCUGUGCAGUGCAGGGACAUGCAAAAGUCGAUGAUACCAUGGAAGGUGACUGCCGUAUCAAGAUGGCUGCCGACACAUCGUCCAACCUAAAUAGAGGAAACCCUUCCCUCAGGAAAGUGUGCAUUAUAGUUGAUGCAUACGGCUGCGCCAUUUGCUCGCGCAGUUUCGAGGAGCAGGAUGCCCUGUUCUUGCACGUACUGGCAUGCCCGUUGCCGGAGCCGUUCCACUGCGGCCUGUGUUCGGAGCACUUGACAAGCUGGGGCGCGAUUCGGGACCACCUCACUGCUCACAUGCAAGAGAGGCACGGCAAAGUGCCCACUGUGUGGCCACACGUUUGGCAAGCAGCACUGGACCAUCCAGCAGUCACAUUCUGCACCACCACAUGCCCGUCCAGCCAUUUGUGUGCAACUGCUGCGGCAGAGCGUUCUUUGCGAAAUCGGACAUUCACAUGCAUAGCGGCCAGUGCCUUGCAAGGAUGCGAGUGCUCAAGAAAUACCUAGGCUUGAGUGAGGACUCGCAGGCUCGCAGCCGCCUGGCCACCACGGUGCACAAGCGCUCCGUUUGCCCGACUGCAUAUUUGGCUCAUGUGGUGACAGCGAGCUACAUGCCCACUCAUUUGGAGCAGGUGCAACAAAGUCGAGAAGGUGAACCAUGGAUGAUAACGGUCGCUCCUGAUAACGGUGUGCCCGCUAUGGAUGAAAAGGCGAGAGUGGCAGCUCAACUACAAGCGGAGUUCAGGGCUCGCAGAGCUGCUGCAGCACGGCGACGAAGACAACAAGCGGGCCCGGAGUCUAGGGCGCGGGAAGCUGCAGCAAAACGGCAACGCCGGCAAGCGGACGCAGAGGCAGCGAGAGCGCGGGAAGCUGCAGCAGCACGGCGACGCCGGCAAGCGGACCCAGAGGCGGCGAGAACGCGGGAAGCGGCGGCAAAACGGCGGAAGCGUUCUCUACCUGAGGGGCAGAAGAAGCAUCCCUUUGAUUGCGGAAAUCACAGGUCAUACGGUACAAGACCUCUGAAGGUCAAACUUGGAGUCGAGGCAUCUACGCAGUGCUUCAUUAAAAUAGAGGUUGCUCACAAGGCCACAUACCGCCACGCCAUCUCUAAAGCCACACAGGCUGUGUUGAGCACUUCCAGAGUCUCCAGCUCAACACAGUGCGAUGGUCUGGAAUACUGUGAAGAUACUUUUUGAACUUCCGCUGCGAAGUGUAGGUGGAUCCCCACGCAUUUUUGUGCAAUCAUAUGUCAUUGCUGUCACUGCUAGGGAUUACCUGUUAAUAGUUGGUUUGAAGCAUAGAAUAACUUAUUUUUUAUCUGGAAUUUUCUAUUGAGUUAGAUUGCCAAUUUGUUAGAGAUGACUUUUUAUCUCUACCGUUACAGCGAAUAUUGGAUAUAACAGAUGGGCUAAUGUUUCCUGUGCUACUUCGUUUUAACAAGGUUCAAUUGUUCUACAAUCACAACACUUACCACAACUGGAGACUUGGCCCUGUAGGAAAAAAAAAACAAAACGUGAGGGUAUAAAAAUCGCAUAUUGUAAUUUCCACAUUAUUUGCUAGGCACUGAUGCUACCAUAACACUAUGAAUUUACUGGAAUUAAAUUGCAUUCUGAAGGAA
rnacentral:misc_RNA from 1 species